UUGAUUAUAGAAUAAUUUGAUUUUAUUUAAAUAAUUUAAUUAAAAUAUUGAUUUGUGGUAUCAAAAA
rnacentral:tRNA from 1 species